rnacentral:tRNA from 1 species
GCCGGUGUAGCUCAGUUGGUAGAGCCCCGGAUUUGUAAUCCGGUGGUCAAGGGUUCGAGUCCCUUCGCCGGCU